rnacentral:rRNA from 1 species
UACGUAGGGUGCGAGCGUUGUCCGGAAUUAUUGGGCGCAAAGGGCUCGUAGGCGGUUUGUCGCGUCGGGAGUGAAAUCCACUGGCUUAACUGGUGGCUUGCUUUCGAUACGGGCAGACUGGAGGCAUGCAGGGGAGAACGGAAUUCCUGGUGUAGCGGUGAAAUGCGCAGAUAUCAGGAGGAACACCGGUGGCGAAGGCGGUUCUCUGGGCAUGUCCUGACGCUGAGGAGCGAAAGCGUGGGGAGCGAACAGG